UAUAGUUUAUUUGGUGGUCAGCAAUUACAUGGAUAACCGUGGUAAUUCUAGAGCUAAUACGUGCGCCCAAACCCGACUUCGUGGAAGGGUUGUGUUUAUUAGAUACAGAACCAACCCAGGCUCCGCCUGGCCUUGAGGUGAUUCAUAAUAACCGAACGAAUCGCAUGGCUAUGCCGGCGAUAGACCAUUCAAGUUUCUGACCUAUCAGCUAUCGUCGGUAGGGUAUUGGCUUACCGUGGCAAUGACGGGUAACGGAGAAUUAGGGUUCGAUUCAGGGGAGGGAGCCUGAGAAACGGCUACCACA
rnacentral:rRNA from 1 species